AUUGAACGCUGGCGGCAGGCCUAACACAUGCAAGUCGAGCGGAUCGGCGGACGGGUGGGUAAUGCCUAGGAAUCUGCCUGGUAGUGGGGGAUAGCGUCCUUCAACGGGCGCUAAUACCGCAUACUCUCAGUUUAGCCUAGGUCGGAGUAGCUAGUUGGUGGGGUAAAGGCCUACCAAGGCGACGAUCCGUAACUGGACUGAGAGGAUGAUCAGUCACACUGGAACUGAGACACGGUCCAGACUCCUACGGGAGGCAGCAGUGGGGAAUAUUGUACAAUGGGCGAAAGCCUGAUGCAGCCAUGCCGCGUGUGUGAAGAAGGUCUUCGGAUUGUAAAGCACUUUAAGUUGGGAGGCGUUACCAACAGAAUAAGCACCGGCUAACUUCGUGCCAGCAGCCGCGGUAUUAC
rnacentral:rRNA from 1 species